GAUGAACGCUGGCGGCGUGCCUAAUACAUGCCAGUCGAGCGAACAGACGAGGAGCUUGCUCCUCUGACGUUAGCGGCGGACGGGUGAGUAACACGUGGAUAACCUACCUAUAAGACUGGGAUAACUUCGGGAAACCGGAGCUAAUACCGGAUAAUAUAUUGAACCGCAUGGUUCAAUAGUGAAAGACGGUUUUGCUGUCACUUAUAGAUGGAUCCGCGCCGCAUUAGCUAGUUGGUAAGGUAACGGCUUACCAAGGCGACGAUGCGUAGCCGACCUGAGAGGGUGAUCGGCCACACUGGAACUGAGACACGGUCCAGACUCCUACGGGAGGCAGCAGUAGGGAAUCUUCCGCAAUGGGCGAAAGCUUGACGGAGCAACGCCGCGUGAGUGAUGAAGGUCUUCGGAUCGUAAAACUCUGCUAUUAGGGAAGAACAAAUGUGUAAGUAACUAUGCACGUCUUGACGGUACCUAAUCAGAAAGCCACGGCUAACUACGUG
rnacentral:rRNA from 1 species